rnacentral:rRNA from 1 species
AGAAUCAACGCUGGCGGCGUGCCUAACACAUGCAAGUCGAACGAGAAAGGGUAGCAAUACCUGAGUAAAGUGGCGCACGGGUGAGUAACACGUGACUAACCUACCCUGGAGUGGGGGAUAACUGAGGGAAACCUUAGCUAAUACCGCAUAACACCUACGGGUCAAAGGAGCAAUUCGCUUCAGGAGGGGGUCGCGGCCGAUUAGUUAGUUGGCGGGGUAAUGGCCCACCAAGACAGUGAUCGGUAUCCGGCCUGAGAGGGCGCACGGACACACUGGAACUGAAACACGGUCCAGACUCCUACGGGAGGCAGCAGUGGGGAAUUUUGCGCAAUGGGGGAAACCCUGACGCAGCAACGCCGCGUGGAGGAUGAAGUCCUUCGGGACGUAAACUCCUUUCGAUCGGGACGAUAAUGACGGUACCGGAAGAAGAAGCCCCGGCUAACUUCGCGCCAGCAGCCGC